AGCAGCCGCCACGGGAAUACGUAGGGUGCAAGCGUUAAUCGGAAUUACUGGGCGUAAAGCGUGCGCAGGCGGUUAUAUAAGACAGAUGUGAAAUCCCCGGGCUCAACCUGGGAACUGCAUUUGUGACUGUAUAGCUAGAGUACGGCAGAGGGGGAUGGAAUUCCGCGUGUAGCAGUGAAAUGCGUAGAUAUGCGGAGGAACACCGAUGGCGAAGGCAAUCCCCUGGGCCUGUACUGACGCUCAUGCACGAAAGCGUGGGGAGCAAACAGGAUUAGAUACCCGCGUAGUCCCUGUCUCUUAUAC
rnacentral:rRNA from 1 species